rnacentral:rRNA from 1 species
GACGAACGCUGGCGGCGUGCUUAACACAUGCAAGUCGAACGGAAAGGCUCCAGCUUGCUGGAGUACUCGAGUGGCGAACGGGUGAGUAACACGUGGGUAAUCUGCCCUGCACUCUGGGAUAAGCCUGGGAAACUGGGUCUAAUACUGGAUAUGACCUUUCUCCUUAUGGGGUUUGGUGGAAAGUUUUUCGGUGUAGGAUGGGCCCGCGGCCUAUCAGCUUGUUGGUGGGGUGAUGGCCUACCAAGGCGACGACGGGUAGCCGGCCUGAGAGGGUGAUCGGCCACAUUGGGACUGAGAUACGGCCCAGACUCCUACGGGAGGCAGCAGUGGGGAAUAUUGCACAAUGGGCGGAAGCCUGAUGCAGCGACGCCGCGUGAGGGAUGACGGCCUUCGGGUUGUAAACCUCUUUCAGCAGGGACGAAGCGUAAGUGACGGUACCUGCAGAAGAGGCACCGGCUAACUAUGUG